UUAUGGGAGCUAAAAUUCAAGAUGAUAUUUGGGUGGGGACACAGACAAAUUAUAUAAGCUUUAUUGAGGUUUAAUUUACAUCUUAAGAUUCACUUAGGUGAACAAUUCAAUGAUUACUAUUAAAUUGACAGAGUUGUACAAUCCUUAACACAAUACAGGUUUUAGAAUAUUUCCAUCAUUCCAGAAUAUCCCUCAUACCCAUUUAUAGUCACUACUUCCAUAGCAUAUUUGUUUGUAUUGUAAAAUAGUAUUCCAUGGUAUGGAUAUAACAUCAUUGGCUUAUCUUUUCACCAAUUGAUGGGCGUUCAGAUUGUUUCUAUUUUUUGGUUAAUAUGACUAAUGCUGCCACAAGCAUUCACAUGCAAGUCUUUACACAGACAUGUUUUCAUUUCUCUUGGGUAGAUAUUUAGGGAUAGAAUUCUUGGGUCA
rnacentral:lncRNA from 1 species